AGACCCGAAACCCGGUGAUCUAGCCAUGGGCAGGUUGAAGGUUGGGUAACACUAACUGGAGGACCGAACCGACUAAUGUUGAAAAAUUAGCGGAUGACCUGUGGCUGGGGGUGAAAGGCCAAUCAAACCGGGAGAUAGCUGGUUCUCCCCGAAAGCUAUUUAGGUAGCGCCUCGUGAAUUCAUCUCCGGGGGUAGAGCACUGUUUCGGCUAGGGGGCCAUCCCGGCUUACCAACCCGAUGCAAACUGCGAAUACCGGAGAAUGUUAUCACGGGAGACACACGGCGGGUGCUAACGUCCGUCGUGAAGAGGGAAACAACCCAGACCGCCAGCUAAGGUCCCAAAGUCAUGGUUAAGUGGGAAACGAUGUGGGAAGGCCCAGACAGCCAGGAUGUUGGCUUAGAAGCAGCCAUCAUUUAAAGAAAGCGUAAUAGCUCACUGGUCGAGUCGGCCUGCGCGGAAGAUGUAACGGGGCUAAACCAUGCACCGAAGCUGCGGCAGCGACACUGUGUGUUGUUGGGUAGGGGAGCGUUCUGUAAGCCUGUGAAGGUGUGUCGUGAGGCAUGCUGGAGGUAUCAGAAGUGCGAAUGCUGACAUAAGUAACGAUAAAGCGGGUGAAAAGCCCGCUCGCCGGAAGACCAAGGGUUCCUGUCCAACGUUAAUCGGGGCAGGGUGAGUCGACCCCUAAGGCGAGGCCGAAAGGCGUAGUCGAUGGGAAACGGGUUAAUAUUCCCGUACUUGGUGUUACUGCGAAGGGGGGACGGAGAAGGCUAUGUUGGCCGGGCGACGGUUGUCCCGGUUUAAGCGUGUAGGUGUGUGUUCCAGGUAAAUCCGGUUCACUUUAACACUGAGGCGUGACGACGAGGCACUACGGUGCUGAAGCAACAAAUGCCCUGCUUCCAGGAAAAGCCUCUAAGCAUCAGGUAACAUCAAAUCGUACCCCAAACCGACACAGGUGGUCAGGUAGAGAAUACCAAGGCGCUUGAGAGAACUCGGGUGAAGGAACUAGGCAAAAUGGUGCCGUAACUUCGGGAGAAGGCACGCUGACACGUAGGUGAAGUGAUUUACUCAUGGAGCUGA
rnacentral:rRNA from 2 species